CUACGGGAGGCAGCAGUGGGGAAUAUUGCACAAUGGGGGAAACCCUGAUGCAGCGACGCCGCGUGAAGGAUGAAGUAUUUCGGUAUGUAAACUUCUAUCAGCAGGGAAGAAAAUGACGGUACCUGACUAAGAAGCCCCGGCUAACUACGUGCCAGCAGCCGCGGUAAUA
rnacentral:rRNA from 1 species